CCUACGGGAGGCAGCAGUGGGGAAUAUUGGGCAAUGGACGCAACUCUGACCCAGCAAUGCCGCGUGAGUGAUGAAGGUCAUCUUAUUGUAAAGCUCUUUUCUUUGGAACGAAUAAAUGACGGUAUCAAAGUAAUAAUCUCCGGCUAACCACGUGCCAGCACCCGCGGUAAUACGGAGGGGGCAAGCGUUGUUCUGAAUGACUGGGCGUAAAGGGGGUGUAGGGCGGUUGAUAAGUUAGUCGUGUAAUACCCAGGGCUUAACUCGGGUGCUGCAUCUGAAACUGGUAGACUUGAGUUCAGAAGAGGAUAGUGGAAUGCCUGGUGUAGCGGUGAAAUGCGUAGAUAUGAGGAGGAACACCAGUGGCGAAGGCGACUAUCUGGGCUGCAACUGACGCUGAGGCACGAAAGCGUGGGGAGCAAACAGGAUUAGAUACCCGGGUAGUC
rnacentral:rRNA from 1 species